GGAAUCUGCCUAUUAGUGGGGGACAACAUUCCGAAAGGGAUGCUAAUACCGCAUACGCCCUACGGGGGAAAGCAGGGGAUCUUCGGACCUUGCGCUAAUAGAUGAGCCUAAGUCGGAUUAGCUAGUUGGUGGGGUAAAGGCCUACCAAGGCGACGAUCUGUAGCGGGUCUGAGAGGAUGAUCCGCCACACUGGGACUGAGACACGGCCCAGACUCCUACGGGAGGCAGCAGUGGGGAAUAUUGGACAAUGGGGGGAACCCUGAUCCAGCCAUGCCGCGUGUGUGAAGAAGGCCUUUUGGUUGUAAAGCACUUUAAGCGAGGAGGAGGCGCUCUAGGAUAAUACCCUAGAUGCGUGGACGUUACUCGCAGAAUAAGCACCGGCUAACUCUGUGCCAGCAGCCGCGGUAAUACAGAGGGUGCGAGCGUUAAUCGGAUUUACUGGGCGUAAAGCGCGCGUAGGUGGCUAAUUAAGUCAAAAUGUGAAAUCCCCGAGCUUAACUUGGGAAUUGCAUUCGAUACUGGUUAGCUAGAGUAUGGGAGAGGAUGGUAGAAUUCCAGGUGUAGCGGUGAAAUGCGUAUAGAUCUGGAGGAAUACCGAUGGCGAAGGCAUCCAUCUGGCCUAAUACUGACACUGAGGUGCGAAAGCAUGGGGAGCAAACAGGAUUAGAUACCUUGGUAGUCCAUGCCGUAAACGAUGUCUACUAGCCGUUGGGGCCUUUGAGGCUUUAGUGGCGCAGCUAACGCGAUAAGUAGACCGCCUGGGGAGUACGGUCGCAAGACUAAAACUCAAAUGAAUUGACGGGGGCCCGCACAAGCGGUGGAGCAUGUGGUUUAAUUCGAUGCAACGCGAAGAACCUUACCUGGCCUUGACAUACAGAGAACUUUCCAGAGAUGGAUUGGUGCCUUCGGGAACUCUGAUACAGGUGCUGCAUGGCUGUCGUCAGCUCGUGUCGUGAGAUGUUGGGUUAAGUCCCGCAACGAGCGCAACCCUUUUCCUUACUUGCCAGCAUUUCGGAUGGGAACUUUAAGGAUACUGCCAGUGAC
rnacentral:rRNA from 1 species